rnacentral:misc_RNA from 1 species
CCCUGAACUCUUACUAAAUCCUACAGAAUCCAUCAAAAACAGUUAACAAGCUUAAUAGCUUUAAGUUUAAAGACAAAUCAGCUCGUCAUGUUAGCUUAAUUUCUCUAGCACUAACAAUUUGGUCAAUAAUCACAUUAAAACCCAAUAUAUUAGGAAAAUAAAUUAAAAUUUCAGAUUGCACGACUCUUUACAGUUAGAUGGAACCCUAAACCUAGAGAUAAAACAAUAAAAUACCGAUAUUCUUGAAGGUAGUCCAAAAAUUGUUAAGCGUAUCAUAACAGCAGAUGCUGAAGAUGUAAAGAAUCAAUUAUAUACAUCUACACACGCAUGCAUGCAUAUUACUGAGAAUACAGCUAUUCAAAUGCUGUCAUCCAAAUAAAUCUGAAGUAUUAGAGAUUAAACCCAUGCAACCCAAUUAAUAGGGGACCCAUGCAACCCAAUUAAUAGGGGCAGAGAACUCAAAUCAAGAUUGGCUUUAUUUGGGUCAUCAAACGCUUCCAAAUUAAACAAAUACCUUUCUAUUUCAAACCAAAGAAGAAAAGAUAGUUGUUUAAAAUUAGUAAAAAAGUUCCUCUCUUUUUCUUUUUCCCUUUCAUUUGUUCAAUGCAAUUAUCAGAGUUUUUCCUGUUCUACACACAAAAUUGACAAGGUACUUGCAGAGAGAAAAAUUCGAACUCCAAACUAAACAAAAAUCCUAAAGCAAAGUUACACAAUUUCCAUAUGAAACAACUGAAAAAGAACUUGCAUGAAUUAAAUAACCGAAUUAAUGGAAGAUAAAAAGGAAUCACAAGAGAAGAAACACAAACCUAUC